rnacentral:rRNA from 1 species
GGGCCCGCACAAGCGGUGGAGCAUGUGGUUUAAUUCGACGCAACGCGAAGAACCUUACCUGGUCUUGACAUCCUGCGAACUUUCUAGAGAUAGAUUGGUGCCUUCGGGAACGCAGUGACAGGUGCUGCAUGGCUGUCGUCAGCUCGUGUCGUGAGAUGUUGGGUUAAGUCCCGUAACGAGCGCAACCCUUGUCCUUAUUUGCCAUCAUUUAGUUGGGCACUCUAGGGAGACUGCCGGUGACAAAACCGGAGGAAGUGGGGGACGACGUCAAGUCAUCAUGGCCCUUACGAGCCAGGGCUACGACACGUGCUACAAUGGGGCGUACAAAGGGUUGCAAUCCCGCGAGGGGGAG